UCCUUUGACGUUAGCGGCGGAGGGAGAGUAACACGUGGGUAACCUACCUAUAAGACUGGGAUAACUUCGGGAAACCGGAGCUAAUACCGGAUAAUAUUUCGAACCGCAUGGUUCGAUAGUGAAAGAUGGUUUUGCUAUCACUUAUAGAUGGACCCGCGCCGUAUUAGCUAGUUGGUAAGGUAACGGCUUACCAAGGCGACGAUACGUAGCCGACCUGAGAGGGUGAUCGGCCACACUGGAACUGAGACACGGUCCAGACUCCUACGGGAGGCAGCAGUAGGGAAUCUUCCGCAAUGGGCGAAAGCCUGACGGAGCAACGCCGCGUGAGUGAUGAAGGUCUUCGGAUCGUAAAACUCUGUUAUUAGGGAAGAACAUACGUGUAAGUAACUGUGCACGUCUUGACGGUACCUAAUCAGAAAGCCACGGCUAACUACGUGCCAGCAGCCGCGGUAAUACGUAGGUGGCAAGCGUUAUCCGGAAUUAUUGGGCGUAAAGCGCGCGUAGGCGGUUUUUUAAGUCUGAUGUGAAAGCCCACGGCUCAACCGUGGAGGGUCAUUGGAAACUGGAAAACUUGAGUGCAGAAGAGGAAAGUGGGAAUUCCAUGUGUAGCGGUGAAAUGCGCAGAGAUAUGGAGGAACACCAGUGGCGAAAGGCGACUUUCUGGUCUGUUAACCUGACGCUGAUGUGCGAAAGCGGUGGGGAUCAAACAGGGAUUA
rnacentral:rRNA from 1 species